GUUACUUACAACCUCUGCCUCCCCACCUACCCUCUGGCUACAGACAUGGGCCAUCCUUGCCCUCCACAACUUGUUCACCACCAACUGCUAACCAGGCACCUGUGCCUGGGCAGGCACACUUUGAUCCAAUGCUGGACUUCUUCCAUUUGCACAUGGCUGUCAUGGAUCUUUGAGGGGUUAAAGCCAGUGUGCCAGUUUGUACGGAGGAAUGGGAUGGUAGUCGUGUUGGAGACUCUGUGGGGUCACUUUGGCUAUGAACAGGACAAAUAGGGAUCACAUUCCCUUCAAGAGAGAGAACACUUGUAACUAUAAAUAAACUUCUCAUGGAGAUCAGCUGGGACCUCAUAGCAGAAAUUUUAUUUAAAACAACUGGAAAUUACUUCACCUCGUCUUAAGCCACAGCGUAACACAUACCUUCUGCUCCUCCAGCCCUGCUGUCUGUGCCUGUAG